rnacentral:rRNA from 1 species
AUUGAACGCUGGCGGCAGGCCUAACACAUGCAAGUCGAGCGGAGCGGCGGACGGGUGAGUAAUGCCUAGGAAUCUACCUGGUAGUGGGGGACAACGUCCGCAAACGGGCGCUAAUACCGCAUCCUAUCAGCAGAGCUUACGGCGGAUUAGCUUGUUGGUGGGGGAAAGGCCUACCAAGGCGACGCUCCGUAACUGGUCUGAGAGGAUGACCAGUCACACUAGAACGGAGACACGGUCCAGAAGCCUACGGGAGGCAGAAGGGGGGAAUAUUGGAAGAUGGGCGAAAGCCUGCUCCAGCCAUGCCGAGUGAGUGAAGAAGGUCUUCGGAUUGGAAAGCACUUUAAGUUGGGAGGCGUUACCAACAGGAUAAGCACCGGCAAAGUUCGUGCCAGCAGCCGCGGUAAUUC